rnacentral:lncRNA from 1 species
GACAAAUCUUAGUAAGCACGCUACCUGGCCGGCACUGGUCUCUGGUCUUGACAGCACUUCUGGGCUAUCAAACGGGAAUGCUGUUCUGUUAAGCCAACCCAGGAGGUGCUCCUUGGCACCGUAGACUCUCGCCAAAACCUCUAACACGAGUACUCAUCUUAUCACGUUUAAUUCAAUCUUCUAUUAUAAAAGAUGAUGGUCCAACCAACGUAAGCCUGACAAAUCUUAGUAAGCACGCUACCUGGCCGGCACUGGUCUCUGGUCUUGACAGCACUUCUGGGCUAUCAAACGGGGAGCGCUGCUCUGUUAAGUCAGCCCAGGAGGUGCACCUCUUGGCACCUCAUCUACCCCCACUCUACGUCAACUCCCUUCUCUAAAGGAUUGACACACAGUAUUAUUACUGCUGGAAUAAUACUGC